UACAGAGGGUGCGAGCGUUGUUCGGAAUUAUUGGGCGUAAAGGGCGCGUAGGCGGUGCGGCAAGUCACCUGUGAAAUCUCCUGGCUCAACUGGGAGCUUGCAGGCGAAACUGCCGUGCUGGAGUGUGGGAGAGGUGCGUGGAAUUCCUGGUGUAGCGGUGAAAUGCGUAGAUAUGCGGAGGAACACCGAUGGCGAAGGCAAUCCCCUGGGCCUGCACUGACGCUCAUGCACGAAAGCGUGGGGAGCAAACAGG
rnacentral:rRNA from 1 species